rnacentral:lncRNA from 1 species
GUGUGUUCCCUGUCCAGGUGUUUCCAUGUCCAGGUGUUUCCCUGUCCAGGUGUUUUAGGCAUGGUUUUGCUGUGUUUUUUGUGUGUUUUAGGCAUGACUUUGGUGUGUUCUUGCCGUGGUUUUUGUGCAUUCCUGCCGUGUUUUUUGCAUGUUUCUGCCAUGUUUUUUGCAUGAUUUUGCCGUGUCCCUGCUGUGUUCCUGCCCUGUUUUUGCCAUGGUUUUUAACAUGUUUCUGCCAUGUUUUUGGUGUGUCUUUGCAUGUUUUUGUCCGUGUUUUUCCUGUGUUCCUGCCCUGUUCCUGCCCUGGUUUUGCCUUGUUUUUGCAUGUUUUUGUCCAUGUUUUUGCUGUGUUCCUGCCAUGUUCCUGCCGUGUUUUUCCCCUGUUUUUGGUGUGGUUUUGCCAUGUUCCUGCAGUGUUUUUGUCCAUGUUUUUGCCGUGUUCCUGCCCUGUUUUCGCCAUGUAUUUUGUGUAUUUUUGGUGUGUUCCUGCCGUGGUUUUUUGCAUGUUUUUAUCCAUGUUCUUGCCAUGUUCCUGCCAUGUUUUUGCUGCUGUUUUGGUGUGUUUUUGUCCUGGUCCUGCUGCGUUUUUGCCGUAUUUUUGUCCAUGUUUUUGCCGUGUUCCUGCCCUGUUUUUGUCCAUGUUUGUGCCAUGUCCCUGCCGUGGUUUUGCUGUGGUUUAGGUGUUUUUGCCAUGUUCCUGCUGUGGUUUUGCCAUGGUUUUGGUGUGUUUUUUGUGUGUUCCUGCCCUGUUUUGUCCAUGUUUGUGCCAUGUCCCUGCCGUGUCCCUGCCAUGUUUUUGCCGUGUUCCUGCCCUGUUUGUGUCUGUGUUUGUGCCAUGUCCCUGCCGUGUUUGUGCCGUGUUUGUGCCGUGUCCCUGCCGUGUCUGUGCCGUGUCCCUGCCAUGUUUUUGCCACGUCCCUGCCGUGUCUGUGCCGUGUCCCUUCCGUGUUUUUGCCGUGUCCCUGCCAUGUUUUUGCUGUGUUCCUGCCGUGUUCCUGCCCUGUUUGUGUCUGUGUUUUUGCUGUGUCCCUGCCGUGUUUGUGCCAUGUCCCUGCUGUGUUCCUGCCGUGUUCCUGACGUGUUCCUGCCCUGGUUUUGUCCAUGUUUUUGCCGUGUCCCUGCUGUGUUCCUGCCGUGUUCCUUCCCUGUUUGUGCCGUGUUUUUGCCGUGUCCCUGCCGUGUUUGUGCCGUGUUCCUUCCCUGUUUGUGCCGUGUUUUUGCCAUGUCCCUGCCAUGUUUGUGCCGUGUCCCUGCCGUGUUUGUGCCGUGUUCCUUCCCUGUUUGUGCCGUGUUUUUGCCAUGUCCCUGCUGUGUUCCUGCCAUGUCCUUCCCUGUUUGUGUCCGUGUCUGUGCCGUGUCCCUGCCGUGUCUGUGCCGUGUCCCUGCCGUGUUCCCGUGCCGUGUCCCGGUGCCGGUGCCGUGCCCGGCCGUUCCCUCGGGCGGCUCCGCCGGCGGCUGCAAAGCAAAGCUGGGGGAGGGGCCGGGGGGUUCCGGGGGUCCCGCGACGGCGCCUGGGGAGAGAC